UCCGUAGGUGAACCUGCGGAAGGAUCAUUACAGUAUGAAUAGAAGGUUUUGCUGCUGGCCUUACACCAAGGCAUGUGCGCACCUUCAAAUUUCUAAUCCACAUACACCUGUGAACCUUAGACGUAGAUUGGACUCCCGGCUUCUAUUUGGAGCCGUGAGCGGUUUCUAGGAGGUUUUUCCUUCAAGAGACUGAGUCUGACUCGUCUACUUUAACAUAUACCCCUAAACAAGUUUUAAACGCAUGUCUUUUAAUGGGCUCUAUGGAGCUUAUAAACAUUAAUACAACUUUCAACAACGGAUCUCUUGGCUUCCACAUCGAUGAAGAACGCAGCGAACGUGCGAAACGUAAUGUGAAUUGCAGAAUUCAGUGAAUCAUCGAGUCUUUGAACGCAUCUUGCACUCCUUGGUAUUCCGAGGAGUAUGCCUGUUUGAGUGUCGUGAAUACUCUCAAGCUUGACCUUUUUUUCAUUAAGAAGGUCAUAGUUUGGAUUUGGAUGUUGCUGCGGUUGUACUAUCGCGGCUCGUCUCGAAAUGCAUUAGCUGGUCCACCGCGGUCUAUUAUAAAACUCUAUGGUGUGAUAAGAACACAAAUUCUUUGUAGCGCUAUAGUGAAUAGACCCAUGGGAUGUGAUUGCUUCUAAUAGUCCAUUAACUUGGACAAUAUCACUUUGUUAUCUGACCUCAAAUCAGGUAGGACUACCCGCUGAACUUAAGCAUAUCAAUAAGCGGAGGAAAAGAAACUAACAAGGAUUCCCCUAGUAACGGCGAGUGAAGCGGGAUGAGCUCAAAUUUGAAAUCUGGCGGUCUACGGCCGUCCGAGUUGUAGUCUAGAGAAGUGUUUUCCGUGCUGGACCGUGUACAAGUCCCUUGGAAUAGGGCGUCGUAGAGGGUGAGAAUCCCGUCUCUGACACGGACUACCAGUGCUCUGUGAUGCACUCUCGAAGAGUCGAGUUGUUUGGGAAUGCAGCUCAAAAUGGGUGGUAAAUUCCAUCUAAAGCUAAAUAUUGGUGGAAGACCGAUAGCGAACAAGUACCGUGAGGGAAAGAUGAAAAGCACUUUGGAAAGAGAGUUAAACAGUACGUGAAAUUGUUGAAAGGGAAACGCUUGAAGU
rnacentral:sRNA from 1 species